UACGUAGGGGCCGAGCGUUGUCCGGAGUUACUGGGCGUAAAGCGCGCGCAGGCGGCUCGUCAAGCCUGACGUGAAAGCCCCCGGCUCAACCGGGGAGGGUCGUCGGGGACUGGCGAGCUUGAGGUCGGCAGGGGCUGGUGGAAUUCCCGGUGUAGUGGUGAAAUGCGUAGAGAUCGGGAGGAACAUCUGUGGCGAAGGCGGCCAUCUGGACCAGCACUGACACUGAGGCACGAAAGCGUGGGGAGCAAACAGG
rnacentral:rRNA from 1 species